rnacentral:rRNA from 1 species
AUUGAACGCUGGCGGCAGGCCUAACACAUGCAAGUCGAACGAGCGGCGGACGGGUGAGUAAUGUCUGGGGAACUGCCUGAUAGAGGGGGAUAACUACUGGAAACGGUGGCUAAUACCGCAUACCAUCGGAUGUACCCAGAUGGGAUUAGCUAGUGGGUGGGGUAACGGCUCACCAAGGCCACGAUGCCUAGCCGGUCUGAGAGGGUGACCAGCCACACUGGGACUGAGACACGGUCCAGACUCCUACGGGAGGCAGCAGUGGGGAAUAUUCCACAAUGGGCGAAAGUCUGAUGCAGCCAUGCCGCGUGAAUGAAGAAGGCCUUCGGGUUGUAAAGCACUUUCAGUGGGGAGGCGGUACCUAACGAAGAAGCACCGGCUAACUCCGUGCCAGCAGCCGCGGUAAUAC